UACCAGGCACCCCGAGUGGUCGGGACGAUUAUUGGGCCUAAAGCAUCCGUAGCCGGUCCUACAAGUCUUCCGUUAAAUCCACCUGCUUAACAGAUGGGCUGCGGAAGAUACUAUGGAGCUAGGAGGCGGGAGAGGCAAGCGGUACUCGAUGGGUAGGGGUAAAAUCCGUUGAUCCAUUGAAGACCACCAGUGGCGAAGGCGGCUUGCCAGAACGCGCUCGACGGUGAGGGAUGAAAGCUGGGGGAGCAAACCGG
rnacentral:rRNA from 1 species